CAAAAAGCCUGCGGCGCUCGGAGAAGCCUGGUCCUGGGGACCUCUUUCCAUUCUACUCUCAGGACAGGAGGACGGGGCUGGGGAAUUCUUUUUGGUUUUCUGCUUUUGUUUUGCUCUGGUUUUGGUAGGUUUUGUAUCUUCCUGUGUUUUUUUUUUUCUUCCCCCCCCCUUUUUUCCUUCUUUUUCUUUUUUUGCCUUUUCUUUCCUGUCAUUCUCCCCAGCCAAAAGCCGCCUUCGACCCUUUUGAUUUGAUGUAGCAAAGAGUGUGUCCAGAUUAUCUGAAAUUGACCCUGAAGAAGCUACACAGAUGGCCAGGCAGGGUCCAGAAGAGGGCCAGAAAGGAAGAAACGUCCCAGAAUCCCAAGAUGGGCGGCCUGGCAGACCGCGUGUGGCUCAGACCUGGUGCCUUUUUGCAGAGGCCGCAGAAUGAGGACAGCAGACAUACAAGGACCUUGACUCGGCGCACGGACAGGGAAAAAGGAGACAGACUGACAGAACAGAGAAAGAGCUUUUGCUUUUUCUACAUUGUGUGUGUGUGUGUGUGUGUGUGUGUGUGUGUGUGUAUUUUUCCUGAUAGUCCCACAAAGCUGAGGAUCGGGUGGGGUCCAGCAGGUUUGUCUUGCUGCUUCUGCUGUAGGGUGGCAGUGCCUUAUGCUUUGAGGUCACUCUGUUGUGACCAUGGCCCAGGUCCAGGCCAAGAGCACAGGAGCUGGGAAAUCCACCAGGCCAGACCUGCGCAGAGGAGGCAGCUAGCCUGCAGCCAUCACAGUUCCAUCUUUCCCUCGGAGCCCUCCUCCUCCAGGCCCAGGGCACACAGACGGGGUAUAAACCUGAAGGCAGGAGGGGCCGGGCCAAAGGAGCCAGGAGGAGGUGGGUGGGCAAGAACUGACAGCCUCACAUGAGCUGAGGCUGCUGCAUAGCUUCUUGGUGUGCGGAAGGGUACCACGAGGUGUAGCUGGGGAUAUAGGAGCCCGCGCUGCUGCCUGAGCCCUUUCCGGAGGAGGAGUUCGGGUUCCAGCCAGGCGGUACCGGCGGGGAGCUGGCGGACAGAGCCCGGCCGUUUGCAAGCGCACUGCCCUCCAAAGCCGCCCCGCCUUGCUUCAUCAGUUUCUUGAACUUGGAGCGCUUGUUCUGGAACCAGAUCUUGACCUGCAAGAUCGGACAACAACGUGACUGGGCUGCGAUCAUUGAGCCCACCACCCGGGUCUCAAGGAGGAAAGGACGGCUGUAGAGAAAAGUAGGAGUCCUCGCUGACCGCUGACCGCCCGGCCCCAGCUAACAGCUCCAUGCUGGAGGAGCAGAGGGACCCAAGCCAAGGGCUAGAAAGUUGGACACCCCCUGCCAGUGGCUGACAGGGGCAGUUCCCAGCGAGCCCCCCCCCCGGGGGGAGGAGUGACAAGAGACCCAGGAGUUCCUAGGCCUGGGCCCACUAGCAGGUCAGAAGACGAGGCGCCAGCACAACACUACACAAUUCCAGUGCCGUAACAAUAAAGGAAUCAAAACCCUGGAUAGGAGUGAAGGACAUGUAUUUGCCAUUCAACUGCCUUCUCUUUACACCGUCCUUUCUGCUCUCCAGUGAGUUACGGAUUGGCUGUGGAAGCCACAACAUUUUGUUAAACUUUUCUUUGGACUCAAGCCAACUUUUCCCCCUUAGGUCUGUUUGCUUUGUGAAGCUACGGGCGGGACGUUUGGAAAUUCACCGAGCAGCGGUCGGAACACCUACAACUCCCUAGAGUUUUAGAGAAAUUCAAGGAGGAAAAUCUCGUUUCUUCUCCAAGGUCUGGGACUUGGGAGGCGAGAGUAGAAGCCAGUUUGCCCGGAGCUGCCCGGUAAGGAGGAGGAGAGCAGGAGCCAGAGGCCCAGGCCCCGAGUGAUUACCCACACACUUUAAAGGCAAAGGCGGGAUUAAGUCCCUCUUCCAUUGUUCCAGUUGUUCGGCACGUGUGACCUCAGAAUCCCCAAACAAAAAGUCCCAGGAAAACCUCCCUGAGCCCUAAUCAGACCGUGUAGAGACCAAACUGCAGACGGGCCAGGGGAUUGGUAGGGACCAGCUAGAGUAGACAGCACGAGGGAAGAAGGGGAGACCCUGAAAGUGGGGUGGGAAACACACCCUGUCACUGACACCCCAAACCGUAGGCCCAGUGAAUGAAGCCCAGGCUUCUGCCGGGUAAAGGCCGCUGGGCACAGCGGCGCUGGCUAGAGGUACCUGAGUCUGUGUGAGUCCCAGGGAGGCCGCGAGCUCCGCCCUCUCAGGCAAGGCUAAGUACUGAGUUUGCUGGAACCGCCGGUUCAAAGCCUGCAGCUGCAAGCUGGAAUAAAUUGUCCUGGGUUUGCGGAUCUUUUUCCCCUUGCCAUUGAAGCGCACUUCACCGCCUUCCACCACCGUGCUCUUCUCGGAGUCGGCCCCUGCAGGGACAAGCAGAAGAGGGGGCUGUCGUUAGAACUUGGGGUUGUCAUUAGUGCGGAGAGGUGAGGGCGAGCGGCCGCGGGCGGGUGGACGGGCUGAAGCAGGGCCCGACCAAGAAGGUUCAAGAAAGUCUGAAAGCCUGGGAAGUGAUCCCUCCACGUCCGAGGGCCACCCUAGCUGCUUGCAGGCGGGAUGGGGCCAUUCCUAAGAGCACAGCUAUUGCCUUUGCAGGGAAAGUUUGCUAUUUUUUGCAGGCGGUAGUUGAGGUUUAAUUACCCUUAAUUGCGUACAUUGUUUAUAGCGCUACGCAAUAAAUAAUUACCGAGACUAA